CGUUAAAAAAAACCCCACUAAAAUCCAAGUCAAGUUUAUCUCAGUUUCAUAACCUAGAGUUUGACCCUCUUCAAUGCAAAGAUUACAGCAGCAAACAAAAGUCAACCCCCAUUCUGCCAUGAAUUUCCUGCCAAUAAGGUUAGUAAAAAAGUCAACCCUACUUCUGUCACAUAUUCAUCGGUAAAACAAAUUCUUACCUGAUUUUGGAAUUUGAGCCCUUUUCUUUGUCAUACCAAUCCAUGAAACAUCAUCACAGUAAAGUGCAACUCGGAGUUAUCUGAACUGCAAGAUGUUAGAAUCCAAUUAAGAAACUUGUGCUAGUCUUCUUUUAUCUCCCACACGAAAUAACCAAUCUUUUUUUUUCAACAACCACCCAUCAAAUAAUUCAUAUAAAAUAUCAGAAAAAAAAGUAGCAAGUUGGAUGAAAAACAGGUAGUUUGAAAAGAAAAAGACUACAACUAGUUUAAUCUAAUAUUCCCCAUCCCUUAGUCCACAGAUUUCUUCCUCGUUCAAAAUAAAUGAGACAGAUGACAUAAAUACGAUGUUUAAUGUUUGGAGCCUUUGGCCAUCUGGUAAUUAAGACGUCAUCCAAGUAGCAUCGAACUUCCUCAACAAAUGAUGGUCAUAAAUUUGGAGAUCACAUUGGUUGAGGGUUGGGUCUGUAAUAACUCUCUUCUGCAAUAAAGAAACACGGUUAAACAAACCAAUAAACCAGAUCCCAGAUUAUAUGUCAAGCAAAUAUCACCAUCUAUACACUUUCUGAAUGACUAUGGAAAAUAUUCAUAGCUCAAGGAAACUGCGCAAUGUUAAUUUCAUAACUACAAUAAUAAGCGUACAGUAAGAAAAAUUCUUGAAGUUUAAGGUAUAUUAAGAACUAGAAAGAAACAAGGUGGUAACUAGUGACCAAAACAGGUGUCACCAGAGCAAGAGCUUUUUCAAGAAACUUCACAUUCAGCAUGUUGAAGUACUCAGAAACCAUGUCAUCGCAACUGUUGUAUGCUCAAUCAAUCUGGGACUUAAAUGACAAGAGCAGCUGUCUUGAGUGAUAUACAUGUACAUAUACACACACAUGUCUGUGUGAAGCUGAUAGAUCCUUGCCCUGUGCCACAGUUAGUUCGGGCAACAAGUCGAAUGUUCAAAUCUGCUAUCUUCUGUACAAGUAUUUUGACAAGGGGAACUUCAGACUCCGUGCGACCUGCAAGCCAUUUGAUAACAUCACAGUGUAUGACUACAUUAACUGCUAACAAUCAGAAGCACGGAUGAACACAAAUGUAUAUGAUAAGUUUGUUACCCUCAAAGCUACAUCUUCAGACACUAUGGAUCGGUAACGUGUUGAGCCUUCUAGGGGGCAGCUUCCACCUUUGGUAAUAAAGUUGGCACUACAUAGACUGGACAAUUGCAAGAGAAUGUCGGACAUCGAUCCACUAUCAGAACCAUCAGCUCCCGACCCACCAUUUUGUAGUUCUUCAUCAUCAAGUGAAUAAUCUCCAACAGAUGUGAUGCAUUGAUAUAUAGCCAACAACCUCUCUAGCGGAAAAGUUCCAGGCCCUUUCAUGAGUAUUUCUUGUUCUUUUGCUUCCUUCUGGUCAAUUGAUUUUUCAGAGACCCUGAAUGCAACAUUGUAGUGCAGAAAUUUGUUAUCUAGUUAGCAGUAGAAGUUGCAAUACUAUAAUAACUCUUUACUUGAUACAAUCAUGCAACUAGAAACAUCUGAAUGAAUUAGGCCAACCUUAAAGAUUAAACACGGAAAGACAGAACACACUAAGCCAUUGAUAUAUGUGUAUGCACAUAAAUUUCAAUAUGAAUUUCUUGAGCAAUGCCCUAAACUAGAAUAUGUAAAGUACACACACAGCAAACGACAUUUGCAUUACGAUCAAAAAGCUCCUCUAAUAUAUAUAUAUAUAUAUACAAACACACACACACACACAUAUAAAGAAGAGAUCAUAUAGAUUCCCUAGCUUCCCAUAGUACCGUAGAUCCCCUUAACGAUGCAUAAUGUAAAAAUAAAAAUGCAUAAUGUUGAACAAGAAAGUGCAUAUAUGAAUUUGAUUGCAUUCCAAAUUCAUAUAUGCACUUUUGUGUUGAAUAUUAUGCACUAGUAAGGGGAUCUACGGUACUACGGGAGGACUAGGAUAUACCUGAUCCUGACCCCAUACCUAUAUAUAUACACACACACACACACCAGAUUAUUGAACUAAGCUAAUACUACUAGCAAAAAUUGUUGUGUUAAUCUCUUACUUUCGCUUUCUUUUUCGAUUGUCAGUUCCUCCUGUUGAAUCAAAAAGUGAGGCAUCAAGGGUUGCUGGAUUUCGUGAAGCAAGAAAG
rnacentral:lncRNA from 1 species